GCAUUAGUGAUUCAGUGGUAGAAUUCUCGCCUGCCAUGUGCGAAGCCUGAGUUUGAUUCCUGGCCAAUGCA